rnacentral:rRNA from 1 species
UGGGGAGCAUGGUAUGCUGGAAGGGUUCGAUCUGUAGCUCCAGAUUGAACGCUGGCAGGAUGCUACAUGCAAGUCGGGCAGCAGCACGGACUUCGGUCUGGUGGCAUGAUGGCGAACGGGUGAUAUUACGUAUCGGAACGUGCCCUAGUAGCGAGGAUAACUACGCGAAAGCGUAGCUAAUACCACCUUACGCCCUUCGGGGAAAGCAGAGGCCUUCGGGCCUCGCACUGUUAGAAGCAGCCGAUAUCGGAUUAGCUGGAUUGGUGGGGUAACGGCUCACCAAGGCGACGAUCCGUAGCUGGUUUGAGGACGACCAGCCACACUGGGACUGAGACGGCAGACUCCUACAGGAGGCAGCAGUGGGGAAUUUUGGACAAUGGGGGAAACCUGAUCCAGCCAUCCCGCGUGUGCGAUGAAGGCCUUCGGGUUGUAAAGCACUUUUGGCAGGAAAACGGCACGGGGAUAAUACCCCGUGCAACUGACAGUACCUGCAGAAUAAGCACCGGCUAACUACGUGCCAGCAGCCGCGGUAAUACACGUAGGGUGCAAGCGUUAAUCGAAUUACUGGAACAUCAGCGUGCGGGCGGUUCGGAAGAAAGAUGUGAAAUCCCAGAGCUUAACUUUGGAACUGCAUUUUUAACUACCGAGCUAGAGUAUGUCAGAGGAGGUGGAAUUCCAUCAUGGCAGUGAAAUGCGUAGAUAUGCGGAGGGGAACACCGAUGGCGAAGGCAGCCUCCUGGGAUAACACUGACGCUCAUGCGCACAGCGUGGGGAGCAAACCAGGAUUAGAUACCUGGUAGUCCACGCCUAAACGAUGUCAACUAGCUGUUGGGGCCUUCGGGCCUUGGUAGCGCAGCUAACGCGUGAAGUUGACCGCCUGGGAAGUACGGUCAGAUUAAAACUCAAAGGAAUUGACGGGGACCCGCACAAGCGGUGGAUGAUGUGGAUUAAUUCGAUGCAACGCGAAAACCUUACCUACCCUUGACAUGUCUGGAAUCGAAGAGAUUUGGGAGUGCUCUGCAAGAGAACCGGAACACGGGUGCUGCAUGGCUGUCGUCAGCUCGUGUCGUGAAUCUUCUGGUUAAGUCCCACCAACGAGCGCAACCCUUGUCAUUAGUUGCUGCGAAAGGGCACUCUAAUGAGACUGCCGGUGACAAACCGGAGGAAGGUGGGGAUGACGUCAAGUCCUCAUGGCCCGCCAUCAGGUAGGGCUUCACAUCCGCCUGUGUGAAUUGGGACCGAAGGUCAGCAACCCGCGAGGAGCCAAUCCCGAAGCCCGAUCGUAGUCCGGAUCGCAGUCUGCAACUCGACUGCGUGAAGUCGGAAUCGCUAGUAAUCGCGGAUAAGCAUGUCAUGGUGAAUACGUUCCGGGUCUUGUACACCGCCGUACACGGGUGGUUUUGCGAAGCCGUUUAGCCUAACCGUAAGGAGGGCGAUUACCACGGUAAGAUUCGCUGACGGGUGAAGUCGUAACAAGGUAGC